rnacentral:rRNA from 1 species
AGGAUUAACGCUGGCGGCGUGCCUAACACAUGCAAGUCGAACGAGGUAGCAAUACCUAGUGGCAGACGGGUGAGUAACACGUGGGCAACCUACCGUAGAGUGGGGGAUAACUAGCCGAAAGGUUAGCUAAUACCGCAUGAAACGUGCUGUGGCAUCACAGAACGUUAAAAGGAGCAAUCCGCUUCACGACGGGCCCGCGUCCGAUUAGCUAGUUGGUGGGGUAACGGCCUACCAAGGCUCCGAUCGGUAGCUGGUUUGAGAGGGCGACCAGCCACACUGGGACUGAGAAACGGCCCAGACUCCUACGGGAGGCAGCAGUGAGGAAUUUUCCGCAAUGGGCGAAAGCCUGACGGAGCGACGCCGCGUGUGGGAAGAAGGGCCUUCGGGUCGUAAACCACUGUCGAAGGGGACUAGUACUGAAGGUACCCUUGGAGGAAGCCCCGGCUAACUACGCGCCAGCAGCCGC